CAGAAACUGAUUAAAUAAUUAAUCUCAAUUUUCUUGAAAUUAAAGUGUUGGCUCUGGCACCCUUUCCUCAGGUGGUAAGGUUUUGGGAAGUUUUACAGAAAGCACCUAUGAAAUAUGGCUUUAAACAUGGGGUCAGGAGUUGGAGCACCAGAGUUUCAUUUCUGCUCCUGCUCCCGCUUUCCAAGGCAACCUUGAGCAGGGCAAUGAGGACAACAUUUUCCAACAGCAAUAGCUAAAGUUAACUACCUAGAUCCACAUUAGCUGGGUUAACCUAUUUCCAUAGGAACUAAAUGCGUGCAUGCAACAGGAACAGGAGUUCUGCUGAAAUCCCUAGUUAGAAAAGUCUCCCCAGAAGCUCACUUUCAUCAUGUGUGAAGUAGGUACAAUAAAGCCAUGCAGUUUAUGAGAGAUCAUCUUUUUCACUGGGGGUGGAAUGUACUAAGUACUGUCCCUCCCCAAAACAACCAGUCCUCCCUGUCCUCUGCCACUGAAGAGACUGUUCUGCCCCCAGGUGCAGAGCUCUUUGCCAUUAUUCAAACACAAUCAAUGCCUUAAAUUGCUCUGGUUAAUUGCUGUAAUGGCUGCUAUCAGCAAACGUAUCACUAUCUAAAUGGUGCCUGUUUGCUCUUUAACAGACUUUGAAAGAAUUUAUCCGGAUUGACAUCGACAUUUACAUUGCAGGGGCACACGGUGAGUACUCACGUUUCCCUCAGCCUCUCUGUGGAUGCUCCAGUCCCAAAAAUUAUUCCAAUUCCCAGUUUUACCUCCCAGAGCUGGAUAACGAUGGCUCCAUCUCCAUGCUGCCCCUAUCUUGGGCAGCCUGGGUUAAAUGAGAGCCAGGCCCCUCUUCCCUCCUGCCCAGCAUCAAGCAGGGCAGGGCCGAUGGGGUUGGUGUCCCACCCUCUCCACGUCGCUAAAGUCUGCUCUAAUAAAUGAAACCAUGCAUUGUCAGAUAGCCCUGCAUUCACUCAGUGGACAUGUGAAGGAUACUUCAUUUUCAAGGCCUGCAGUUUUACACAUCUUGCUGAAGAAGGAUACAGCCCCCAAAUUAAAGCUCACUGAGAAGGGUACCAGCAAAGACUAUAUCAUCAAUACCAGCAAUGGGCUACGCAGCCGGGAGAACACGAAUCCAGCAGAAACAAAAUUUUAGAUUCAGUUUUGUAAGUAGAAUAUCCUCCAGCAGCACAGCAUCACUUACAGAAGAUGAAUACAGAUGCAGCGAGGAACACAAAGACUGAUGGACGCUUUCAUAUACCCUAAGAGGGAUUUACUUCACAUGAUUAUGGUCCAAGUUCUGGAAUGGGCUCGUUAGUCUUUACGUGUCUCUGUAAAUAUAGAGAUGUAUUUAUGUACAUACGUGGAGGCUAUAAUCACCUGGAUUUUCCUAUUUCAUACCCUGCUGACAACCUACCCACGCAGCUGAAGAAGCAAGUAAUGUUAGCCCUAUUUGCAUAUACUUGUACAUACAUCUAUGUUACUCUGACAGUUUGUAGACAGCUUGUACAGUUACUAGAGAAUAUAUAAAUAUUUGAAAUCUUGUAAUUUAUAACAGUCUAAUAGUUGAGAGAGAGAUUUUAUCUCCAGCUUGUAUAUAACUUGUAUAUAGUUUUCAUUAUGGUUUACAAGAUACCUGGUAGAUUGGGUUAUUAAACUUAUUUUCAGCUCACUACUGCAUGUAUAGUACACAAAGUGACUACCGUACCUACUGUGAAAUAUGAAAACGGCUCCGUAAAGACACACAGCAUUUUCAGAUCCAAACACAAUUUAUUGAUUCACUUUGGGGUGCUAUAAAAUGCACAAGACAGGACAUAUUUACAGUGAACUAGAAAAUGAUGAUUUUGGUAGCACUUCAUCGCUUGCUGCAUUUGUCAAUACACCACCGAGGUAGCUUGAAAUCAGUCUGAUUUCCUGCUGAAACACAGAAACUGACAGCGAUUGAAAACUGAAAGGAAAAAGUUUUCUAAUUCAGUUUUGUUUGGGUCCAUUUGCACACCAAGAAGAGCUGCAGUGAAUCCCCCGGUGAACCAGUCUUCCUUGUUAAAUGCAUCCCAGCUACCUCACUGCAGCUGACAGCAGCAAAGAGUUCGAGGUUAUACAGCUACUAAGAAAUAGCAGCCGUGACUCUAGGCAGAGAGCACGGCAGCCUUCUCGUGGAAGGCUUUUCACCUUCCUGUUGGUGUGACAGGCAGCCCCGUUAUGUGUGUGCCCCAGGAAACGGCACACAAUGGCCCCAAAACUCAGCUUGGGAGCUGUGGGUAUGGAGCUGCCAGGCAGGGAAGGAAAGGAGGGAAGGAAAAAGUGUUCUGGGUAAACAAGAACCAUGAUUUUUAUCUCAGUAGUAUGCAAGACUUCAGAACAAAAUUUGGAGGAAAACCAGACAGGAAUAAGUGGGAAGAAAUGUGGCGUACUUUUGUAAAAGGUAGAUGUAUGCAUGCCACACUCACCUAACCACCAUAGCUCACAUAACCUCCAGUUAGCAAACAGAGCUCCCAAAGGGAAAUGCCAUAGAUUUCAUCUCUCUAGACCUGAGCAAAACCUUCCUUGCAGAGCCACGUGGGCAAGAGUUAAUGUGGUUGGAGAAGAUGGGGUAAGAAAAGGCACUGAAAGGAGAAGAUGGAUUAUACUAAAGAGGAGAUGACGAGUAGGAGCUUUGACAUAGAAGUACUGGGGUGGAGGAAGGAUUGAUGUGUUAAAUAUUUGCAUUAAUUGUUUGUUACAAAAGUCUGGAGUUAUCUGACGAAAUCUGCUAAUAAAACCAAGCUGGAAGAUAACA
rnacentral:lncRNA from 1 species